rnacentral:lncRNA from 1 species
ACUACCCUAUCAUAUCACAAUGGUCCAAAUGCCAGCACUUACAGAUAAUGUCAUCACAGUGCCUAGAAACUCAAACUGUAAUAUACCGUAGCAUCUUCUUGGUGUUUCUUCACGUUUCUUUCCACAAAGCAAGGCUCCCUCUGCCUCGUGUUUCUAAGAGAGUUCACCCACUGAGGAGCCUGCCUUCCCUGUUGGACUCUGUCACUUGGGGAACAGUCAUAGAAGCACAUAGAAACCAAGGAAGAAACUUCCUGGAUAUCUGUCUCCCACUUGCCCAGGUAUAACAAACACUAAAGAGGGGAAAACCGAAGAGCUGCCAACUGGUCGACCUGGAAGGGUAGUUCUGCCCUGGAUUGGUGUCUUUCUUUUUCUUCCUUUUUUAAAAAAGAAAUCUAUUUCUUAAAUAAUAAUAAAUGCACAUGAUGUGUUAAAUAUGUACAUAUAUAUUUCAAAAAAUGGGCACAAGAUUGUCUUACGAGUCCUUCUGGCUAAUUUUUAGUUUGUAUUCAUAAGUGGUUUUUAAAAGCCUUUUUUAAAGUGUAAUUUGCAUGUUCUACUUUGAUUGUAUGUAAACAUAUUUUAGAACAAAAAUGUAUUUGUAUUUUAUUGAAUAUAGAGGCAAGAAAAAUUGUACAUUGUUUGAAAUGUUCUUUUGUAACAGUUUUUAUUCAUAAAAGCAUUUUUGUACAUUUGAAUGACCAUGGACUUGCUGUCAUUUGAGGCGUAGCGACAUCUGGCAUGCUUUACUGUCAUGCUCUCCCAUGGUCUUAGAUGUUGGGUUUUAAACAUUUUUUUUUUCUAAAAGAAAGUUCAGUCUCUUUCGCUACCAGAUCAGGUUAGCACAGUACAGAGCACUUAACUAUUAAAAAAAAAAGUUGAUCCUAUUCAUAUGUUAUUCAUUGUGUGAAAUUAAAGACAUUCAAUUCCGUCUAACA